rnacentral:rRNA from 1 species
GUGCGGUUAAAAAGCUCGUAGUCGAAUUUGUGUCCCGCGCCGCCGGUUCAUCGUACGCGGUGUUAACUGGCGUGUCGCGGGACGUCCUGCCGGUGGGCCUAAGUCCGUAAGGGCGUCGGCCCGACCCAAUCCCGCCGCGGUGCUCUUCAUUGAGUGUCGAGGUGGGCCGGCACGUUUACUUUGAACAAAUUAGAGUGCUUAAAGCAGGCUAAAACUUCGCCUGAAUACUGUGUGCAUGGAAUAAUGGAAUAGGACCUCGGUUCUAUUUUGUUGGUUUUCGGAACUCCGAGGUAAUGAUUAAUAGGAACGGAUGGGGGCAUUCGUAUUGCGACGUUAGAGGUGAAAUUCUUGGAUCGUCGCAAGACGGACAGAAGCGAAAGCUUU